rnacentral:rRNA from 1 species
GGACUACUGGGGUAUCUAAUCCUGUUUGCUCCCCAUGCUUUCGUGCCUCAGUGUCAGUCUCUGUCCAGAAAGUCGCCUUCGCCACCGAUGUUCCUUCCGAUAUCUACGCAUUUCACCGCUACACCGGAAAUUCCACUUCCCUCUACAGGACUCUAGCCUCACAGUAUCAGGCGCAAUCCCCAGGUUAAGCCCAGGACUUUCACACCUAACUUAUAAAACCACCUACGCACCCUUUACGCCCAGUAAUUCCGAUUAACGCUUGCACCCUCUGUAUUACCGCGGCUGCUGGCAC